rnacentral:lncRNA from 1 species
GUGUGUUCGGAGUAAGUGGGAGUGUUUGGAGAGCGGUUAAUGGCAAUGUGGUUUUCCUGUAGUACUGGUUACUGGUUAGGCAAGACCCCGAGUGCCUCUCAAGUCACCCUGAAUUAGGAAGUGAAGGAGCACUGAUCAUGUCACGCUCUAGCUCACGUACGACAUGAGCAGACUCUUUACCAUCUGUCCCACACUGUCUCAUCUGCCGUCUUUCCCUCCGGAACUUAGGCAGAGUCGGUUACUCUUCACUGUUCCCUAAGCUCAUGGAGACACUGAUCUGUGCUGCACCCUCGCCUGGAGUACUCACCACCCAGCUCUGCCUGCCAGAACCUUCCUCUCCUGCCUCUGUCUCUAAGGCCGCUCCCAUGAAAAUCUGUCAUGAUCUCUGCAGCUGGAUGUGCAGCUCUGUAUGGUCUCUCACCUUCAGGAACUUCCACUUCACUUUCACAUGAGCGUGGUGACUUUUAUUCUGCCUUUACUAUCUCAGAAAAUUUUCACUGUGACCUCAAUUCUGACCAGUUCAAAGGUUUUCUUCGAGCUCACACACCUUCUGUUGACCCAUCCAGUCAGGCAAGAUCUGCCAUCUUCUCCAUCACCUACCCAUCCUCAGACAUCUACCCGGUAGUCAAGGUAGGGAAGCACCGUCUGAUCUGCACAUUCUGAUGUCCUCAUUGUUGUGUUGCUCUCAGCUCAGCUCAAGCGUGAGGUAGAAGACAUGACAGAGCAUGUCCUCUGUGAGAACUGAGUGCUUUCUUUCUAAACGUAUCCAUUUUCCUUUACAAGUAAAUUCCCCAGAAAGACUAAAGGUUGUGGAAUCUUAGAUUCCUAGGUUUGCUUUGCACUAAGUAGCUUUCUGAAUGACUAAUGCCUAAACGUUCUGAGACUCAAGGUCCUCGCCUGUAUAGGGGACAAUCACACUGACUUUGUUGGGCCGUCAUGGCCACAGAAUGAAACCUGGCCCUUCCUCCUAAGUAAAGCGCAUGCCCUCAGCUGUCCAGCUCCAGGAGGCUGCUGUGGAGAAAGGAAUAAAAUCUUUCUGGCAGGGUUUCCUAACAAUGUGCAUGUUUUUCUAGAAACCUUCAGCUAAACCUUCCCAAGAGCAGGCUCUAACAGUGUGAGGCGUGGGCUUCGGUUUCCAUGUCUCAUUGCCCUUUAUCAUUGCUAUCUCAUAGACUGUCUAGUGAGAGUCAAGAUCAGUGAGGCUGUAGGAGAACCUUUCAUUAUAACUGUACUCUUUGCUGGUGUACGCCCAAACUAUUGGUCAUAAUUUAACAACAAAUAGUGGGUACUUAACUGACCUCCAUUCAGAUAAUUGGUCUUAUUGACUCUCUUCCCCCAAAUUUUAAACACAUCAGAGCAACAAAUUCAGGUAUCUGGUUUCAUGCACACCCAGCCUCCUGUAUCUCGAAAAAGUUUAGUUUGCUCAGUGUCUUGUGUCCUUAAUCCCAC